UGUGUAGGCGGCGGCAUAAGUCAGAAGUGAAAGUUGGCAGCUUAACUGCAAAAUUGCUUUUGAUACUGUGUUGCUUGAAUCACGUUGAGGCUGGCGGAAUGUGGCAUGUAGCGGUGAAAUGCUUAGAUAUGCCAUAGAACACCAAUUGCGAAGGCAGCUGGCUAGACGUGUAUUGACGCUGAGGCACGAAAGCGUGGGGAGCGAACAGGAUUAGAUACCCUGGUAGUCC
rnacentral:rRNA from 1 species